UUAUUCUUUUCCCGUAUGUUUCCCGGAUUGAUAUGUUUUUUUUUCUGUUGUUUGGUUUUGUUUCAUUGAACAGAUAGAUAGAUCAUAUAGUAUAUCAGAUUCCUCAAAACCAUCAACUUGUGUUCGGAUUUGAUUUCAUGAUAUUCUUGCAACAACAACAACAACAACAAUUUUAAUUGAGAUUAUAGUUUGUGUAUUCUUGUUCUCUCUCUGUGUGUGUGUGUUUAUUUGUGUGAUCUUUCAAUUCUGAUGAUAAUGAUAUUGGAAAUGCAUAUCUGAAAUAAUUUUAGAAGAAAAAAUGUUUUCAACUAGUCAUUCGAAAAAAAACAUGCCCGAUAAUUUUUUUCUUUCUCCUUGGAUUCAAAAUCCAAAAUAUAUUCUAUUUGAUUCUUUUAACGCGUGCGCACCAAAAAAAAAAAAUUUUUGUUUGUCCAUAAAAUUCAAAUAUUUUUUGAAAUUUUUUCCGUUUGUUUGAAAUCUAAUUAAUUAAUACAAAAAUGUAAAAAAAAUGUCCGUGUCAUAAUUGUCAAAGAAAAUAUUACAAAAUUUAAAUUAAACACCUACAUACCAUUCAUCAUAUAUUAAAAAUAACAUCUUAAGAUUCUAUAUAAUGGCAAUAAUAAUUUUUCAUCAAUCAUCACUAUCAUCAUCAUUAUCGUCAAAAUCAAACACAAUUAUGAUGAUCAUGAAUCAAAAACGAAAACCCUUAAUGGAACGUUCUAACGCGGUUACAAUUACAUUACUUUGUUGAUAUAAUAAGAUGAACAACAAAAUUUACAAUUGACAUAAUGUCACAUUUGUCACACACACACACACACACACACACCACAGACAAAAACAUUGCUCGAAUUUUUCACACUAAAUACAUUGUGCACACAUCAAUCAUUUUACAUACAAACACACGCACCAAUGAAUGUUUGAACAAUUUGAUUUUUUUUUUUGCUCUUCAGUCAAUGACAAUUAUCAUCAGUAUAAGAAAAACAUCAUCGAUUGUCAUCUCAUGGAUCUCAUUACCAUUACCAGUCAUUCAAUCCAACAAUCAAUCAAUCAAUUAACAAACAAAAAUGGAAAUUUGGAAAAAAAACGUCAAUUCGAUCCUUCAAUCUCAUCAUGGUUUCAUUCAUCAUCCAAUGGAUGAGAGACAAAAAUUUGCUAAAAAAUUCUAGUUAUUUAGAUUCACACAUCAACUAAAAAUAUUUUUUGUUUUCUCGACUUUGAAUUAAUUUUGGCCAAUCAUUGAUAACAAGAAAUUAUUUUCAUUAU